UACGUAGGGGGCUAGCGUUGUCCGGAAUCAUUGGGCGUAAAGAGCGUGUAGGCGGCCCGGUAAGUCCGCUGUGAAAGUCGGGGGCUCAACCCUCGAAAGCCGGUGGAUACUGUCGGGCUAGAGUGCGGAAGAGGCGAGUGGAAUUCCUGGUGUAGCGGUGAAAUGCGCAGAUAUCAGGAGGAACACCUAUUGCGAAGGCAGCUCGCUGGGACGUAACUGACGCUGAGACGCGAAAGCGUGGGGAGCAAACAGG
rnacentral:rRNA from 1 species